rnacentral:rRNA from 1 species
CCUUCCGUAGGGUGACCUGCGGAAGGAUCAUUA